UGCUGGUUCAUAUUAAAAGCUUCUUCUGCCAGUGGGAGGCUUUUAUUUUGAAGCAGCCAAAGAAAAACAGUGGUCAGUGGAUCAUUUUUAAAUGGAAUAGAGCAAAAUGAGUUAUCUGGUUAUGUGAAGAG